CCGGGGGCCAAAUUUCCGGGGCUGAUGGGCGCAACGCUAAUAAAACCUGACUGACAGACUUAAAGCAUCUCUGCCUGCCUGAAUAUAGCCCGGCAUCUAAAUACGUGUACAUGACGAAAUGCAGAAAUGAAUCCCACACGUCCGACAGACAAGCAGGGAAAACUCCAUGGGUUACGGGAACAGAAAUAAAAACGUCAAAUUGAGUUUGCAGCCAAGAGUAUGAGGGGGAAUUUAAUGUAAAUGCCGGUUUAGGGAAAACCUGGUUGCGCAUAAUUAGAUUUACUCCAAGGCGCUGGGCAUAUCGAUGGCGUAAGCUAACCCUUGUCGUGUACAAAUGGGUGUGCAGGUAGGCCUGUGGAAAGCAGGAAAAAAAUACGAAAUAUCCCAAAGGAAACGUCGAGGUGUUGUGCAUCGCCUGGCUACUUGCAGGUACUGGAGAAGGAAGAGAUGUUAAGAAAUAAUCCUUUGACCUUGCUGUCUACCUGAAACACUGUCCAUUUUGGGACAUGACUGAGUGCAGGCAAACAGGCAUUAAAUCACCCGCUGCCACGUGGGAAACCUGCGUUUUCUAAAUUUAGCGUGACAGGAGGCGGUGUGUGAUGAGGUUUGAAGGCUGGUCCCCCGUGGCUACAACUCACAACGGCCCCUGGAAUGGCUACACUGCCCCCUACAGAUUCCUGCGGGUCCUGAGAUCCGCUCUGACAUCUACAAGCCUCGAGCCCCGUCCACCUUCCCUGGCUGAAACUUAACAAACCUCACCACCUUACCAGUAGGCCAGGAAUCCAUUUUCACACUCCCC